rnacentral:rRNA from 1 species
CCGAGUCUUAACUGGGCGUUAAGUUGCAGGGUAUAGACCCGAAACCCGGUGAUCUAGCCAUGGGCAGGUUGAAGGUUGGGUAACACUAACUGGAGGACCGAACCGACUAAUGUUGAAAAAUUAGCGGAUGACUUGUGGCUGGGGGUGAAAGGCCAAUCAAACCGGGAGAUAGCUGGUUCUCCCCGAAAGCUAUUUAGGUAGCGCCUCGUGAAUUCAUCUCCGGGGGUAGAGCACUGUUUCGGCAAGGGGGUCAUCCCGACUUACCAACCCGAUGCAAACUGCGAAUACCGGAGAAUGUUAUCACGGGAGACACACGGCGGGUGCUAACGUCCGUCGUGAAGAGGGAAACAACCCAGACCGCCAGCUAAGGUCCCAAAGUCAUGGUUAAGUGGGAAACGAUGUGGGAAGGCCCAGACAGCCAGGAUGUUGGCUUAGAAGCAGCCAUCAUUUAAAGAAAGCGUAAUAGCUCACUGGUCGAGUCGGCCUGCGCGGAAGAUGUAACGGGGCUAAACCAUGCACCGAAGCUGCGGCAGCGACGCUUAUGCGUUGUUGGGUAGGGGAGCGUUCUGUAAGCCUGCGAAGGUGUGCUGUGAGGCAUGCUGGAGGUAUCAGAAGUGCGAAUG